GGCCUAACUGUGGCAGCGGUGCUAAACAUCAAUGGAGAGGGAAUCAUGGUGAGGCUUCUCCGGGUUUCCUCUCUUUCUCUAUCUCUUCCUACAUCGCCACUCGCCAGUGCGGCGGUGACCUCUAGAAUCCAAAGCAAGCUGUAGUGAGCAGCCCCUUACAUACUCUCUGCGGACUGCGGUCCGCACCGCACGCCAUCUCAGCAAGACGAGAGCUCCACCGCGCUGUUCACUUCUUCUGACGAAGGAUGGCGGGAAAAGAGGAUGAGAAUGAGAAGCCAUCGUUGGUGGCAGCCGGCGGCAAGCAAGAUCGGACAGCGGCGACCACGGGUGAGGAUCCGUGGCAAGCAUUUCGUUCCCCAUUUUCUUAUUCUUCGGCCUUUCUUCAGUUCCCAUUUCUCCCUUUCUCCAGAGUCCAGAGACUGGUCACCUUUGUCUUGUUUUUCAGAAUCCCUUCCGCAAAGGACGAAUCUUGAGUGGGGAAAGGCAGCGUGUAGCGAGGAUGACAUCCAGAAGUGUGUAGCUGCCGGUGCCUUCCAUCCCGGUGAGCUGGUCGAAUGGCGAGCUCCCGUCAAGGAUGAGACUCCGACGCUAUCCACCAUGGAGGAUCAGUUUGUUAUCCUGUCUCUGACGCACAUAAUUUGCGGUCUGAGGGUCGAUGCGAGCGAUUUCCUGGUCAGUGUGCUCGAGUACUACAGACUUGAGUGGUCUCACCUGACGCCCAACUCUAUUACGGCGCUGAGCAUCUUCGCCCACCUUUGUGAGGCCUACGUGGAGGCGCCUCCAACUGUGGAGGUCUUCACGCACUUCUACAGCCUCUAUCACAAUAGGAAAGGCGAAACGACAACACUGGGCGCCGUCUACUUCCGGCUCAGGGACAGGAUGAAGAAGAAUUAUCCAUUGUACUACUUGAGGUCCUCGCAGUUCAUGUGGGUUUCUCUGUGGUUCUAUGCCAAGGUACCAAAGAGCUGUCGCUUGACCUUCAGGGGUGAUAUACUAAAGGAGGAAAACAAUUGGAAUUGGAAAGAUCUUUUGCCUCUUUCCUGUGAGCAGAUGAAGCAGGUCGGCCAAAUCAUGAAGCUAAGUAACCAAGGCUUGACUGGUGCAGACAUCAUUCAUGAUUACCUCAAGCGCCGGAUUAGCCCUUUGCGCCGAAGGAUGCAUUUGACAUGCAAUUAUUCUGGCCUCUCAGAUCCUACCAGGGAUUCAGACAAAGAUCUUUCUGUGGAAGACAUUGAGAGCAAGCUGAGCUACCUUCUAGAUCUUAAGAGGAUGGGUGUGAAGCAGCCUACAGGUAGACUGGUCAGAGCAUCAACCAAUGACCAAGCCAAUCAGCCUCUAGACUUGCUGAAUGUUUGCUCAACUCACGAAGCUAAGAAGGAAGCACAACCUCAAGUUUGUGCCUCCCUACGAAGAUACACAAGGCAAUCUGCUGGUCCCAGGAAGGUUGCAGUACCUCCACCUCUUAAAAUUGACCCUCCCCCCACUCAAGGUCCGGCCCCAGAAGAGAUUCUAGAUGCCACAACAAACAUAGCGACUGCAGUUUCUCCAAACCUGGGCGUAGAACAAAAAUCUAUAGAGCACCCUACUGUGGCUGAAGAGCGGAAAAUAGCAGAGUUAGUGAAACCUACGUUUUCAGUCAUUGGUGCCAAAAGGAAGGCAUCUGCCCCCCGGUCUCGUUCAAAGAGAAGAGCAAAGUAUUCAUUACUUUCCGUUGUUACAAAGACCAGGAUGUCAUCUUUGGACACUGGUUCUAUAAAAGGGACUUCUAGAACAAAAGAGGCAGUGUUAGCGCUGAAUUCACGGUCAAUAGGAUUGGCUCGAUGCCCUCCUGCCUCUUUAGCAGAAGGGACAGGGAACGGUGGACUGUUCAUGCUUGCCAAAGUUGUUGACCAUACUAAGGUUGUUGAGGAUUCCAUGUCGAAUAUACUCCUUAAUCAACAAGUUGGAGAUUCUUCUCGCAAGGAGGUUGAUCCUGCACAAUCUAUCACUGAGAUUGUCCAAGACCAGGAGGCCAUUGAGGUUUCAGCUGCCAUUCCGGUGCCUAAUAAGGAGGAAAUAAACAGUGGGGUGAUAUGGGAGCGGAUGCAGAAAGUUCAGAGUGAAUUCUUCAUAUGUUCCCUUCCCUGUAGUACGUGUCACUCAGUAUGACAGCCUCCUCUGAGCUUUUAGAACAAGCAAAGAAGCUGGUCAUGGAGAAUAAACGCCUGAAGGACGUGCAGAUAAUGCUGUCGCAACAAGUGAAAGACCUCGAAGACGGCAGAAGGCUCUUAACAGAAAGGAUGAAGAAAGCCGAGCAGGAGACAUUCAAAAUAAUAGAAGAAAAUAUGAAGCUCAAAGAUGAGAACAAAGGGCAGAAGCAGAUGAUCGAGGAGCUGAGUAAGCAGAAUGAGUCAACCCUAGGGGCCUUGGUCCAUAAAUGCACUCUGUUGGACCGCUACAAAGAGGAGUCUGCUCAGCUCAUUAGAGAGAAGGAAGAGCUGCAAUCGCGUGUUUCGCGUGUCAAUGAUCUUGUCAAGCUAGUCUCUAGUACUUUGUGCCAAGAGAAAGACAGCGCUUCCUAAAUUUUAUGUAGCAUUUGUGUGUUUGACAAGUGCAAAUGAGAUCCACAGAAGGAAUGUGAUUGGAAGCGAAUGCAGAUUACUGAUGUAUAGAAACAUCCUUAUCAAUGAUUGAUGUAGUCUAAAAUCUCAACUGAAGGGGUUAUGGCAUUAUGGGCA